rnacentral:rRNA from 1 species
CUAGCUACAGGCUUAACACAUGCAAGUCGAGGGGCAUCAGGAAGAAAGCUUGCUUUCUUUGCUGGCGACCGGCGCACGGGUGAGUAACACGUAUCCAACCUGCCCUUUACUCGGGGAUAGCCUUUCGAAAGAAAGAUUAAUACCCGAUAGCAUAAUGAUUCCGCAUGGUUUCAUUAUUAAAGGAUUCCGGUAAAGGAUGGGGAUGCGUUCCAUUAGGUUGUUGGUGAGGUAACGGCCCACCAAGCCUCCGAUGGAUAGGGGUUCUGAGAGGAAGGUCCCCCACAUUGGAACUGAGACACGGUCCAAACUCCUACGGGAGGCAGCAGUGAGGAAUAUUGGUCAAUGGGCGCUAGCCUGAACCAGCCAAGUAGCGUGAAGGAUGAAGGCUCUAUGGGUCGUAAACUUCUUUUAUAUAAGAAUAAAGUGCAGUAUGUAUACUGUUUUGUAUGUAUUAUAUGAAUAAGGAUCGGCUAACUCCGUGCCAGCAGCCGCGGUAAUACGGAGGAUCCGAGCGUUAUCCGGAUUUAUUGGGUUUAAAGGGAGCGUAGGUGGACUGGUAAGUCAGUUGUGAAAGUUUGCGGCUCAACCGUAAAAUUGCAGUUGAUACUGUCAGUCUUGAGUACAGUAGAGGUGGGCGGAAUUCGUGGUGUAGCGGUGAAAUGCUUAGAUAUCACGAAGAACUCCGAUUGCGAAGGCAGCUCACUGGACUGCAACUGACACUGAUGCUCGAAAGUGUGGGUAUCAAACAGGAUUAGAUACCCCUGGUAGUCCACACAGUAAACGAUGAAAUACUCGCUUGUUUGCGAUAUACAGUAAGCGGGCCAAGCGAAAGCAUUAAGUAUUCCCACCUGGGGAGUACGCCGGCAACGGUGAAACUCAAAGGAAUUGACGGGGGCCCGCUCAAGCGGAGGAACAUGUGGUUUAAUUCGAUGAUACGCGAGGAGCUUUACCCGGGCUUAAAUUGCAGUGGAAUGAUGUGGAAACAUGUCAGUGAGCAAUCUCCGCUGUGAAGGUGCUGCAUGGUUGUCGUCAGCUCGUGCCGUGAGGUGUUGGCUUAAGUGCCAUAACGAGCGCAACCCUUAUCUUUAGUUACUAACAGGUUAUGCUGAGGACUCUAGAGAGACUGCUGUCGUAAGAUGUGAGGAAGGUGGGGAUGACGUCAAAUCAGCUCGGCCCUUACGUCCGGGGCUACACACGUGUUACAAUGGGGGGUACAGAAGGCAGCUAGCGGGUGACCGUAUGCUAAUCCCAAAAUCCUCUCUCAGUUCGGAUCGAAGUCUGCAACCCGACUUCGUGAAGCUGGAUUCGCUAGUAAUCGCGCAUCAGCCUCGGCGCGGUGAAUACGUUCCCGGGCUUUGUACUCUCCUCCCGUCUAAGCCUUGGGAGCUCGGGGGUACUUGAAGUACGUAACUUAAAGGAUCUUCUUAGGGUAAAACUGGUGA